AACGAACGCUGGCGGCGUGCCUAACACAUGCAAGUCGCACGAGAAAUCCUGGGCAACCGGGAGAGUAAAGUGGCGCACGGGUGAGUAACACGUGGGUAACCUACCCUCAGGUGAGGGAUAACUUCGCGAAAGCGGGGCUAAUACCGAAUAACAUACCGAUUCCCAUGGGAGUUGGUAUCAAAGAUGGCCUCUGCAUGCAAGCUACUGCCUGAGGAUGGGCCCGCGUACCAUUAGCUAGUUGGCAGGGUAAUAGCCUACCAAGGCGACGAUGGUUAGCUGGUCUGAGAGGAUGAUCAGCCACACUGGAACUGACACACGGUCCAGACUCCUACGGGUGGCAG
rnacentral:rRNA from 1 species